rnacentral:rRNA from 1 species
GUACGCACUUCGGUGCAAUGUACGAGUGGCGAACGGGUGAGUAACACGUGAGAAACCUGCCUCGGAGACCGGGACAACCAUUGGAAACGAUGGCUAAUACCGGAUGUCCUCAUUUGAUCGCAUGAUCUUUUGAGGAAAUGAUCCGUCGCUCCGGGAGGGUCUCGCGGCCUAUCAGCUUGUUGGUGAGGUAAUGGCUCACCAAGGCAUCGACGGGUAGCUGGUCUGAGAGGACGAUCAGCCACACUGGGACUGAGACACGGCCCAGACUCCUACGGGAGGCAGCAGUAGGGAAUCUUGCACAAUGGGCGAAAGCCUGAUGCAGCGACGCCGCGUGGGGGAUGAAGGCCUUCGGGUUGUAAACCCCUUUCAGUAGGGACGAAAAUGACGGUACCUACAGAAGAAGCUCCGGCCAACUACGUGCCAGCAGCCGCGGUAACACGUAGGGAGCAAGCGUUGUCCGGAUUUAUUGGGCGUAAAGAGCUCGUAGGUGGUUCGGUAAGUCGGAUGUGAAAACUCAAGGCUCAACCUUGAGACGCCAUCCGAUACUGCUGUGACUUGAGUUCGGUA